UUAGCUUCUUAGCUAGCUGUAAAAAACCAUGUUAUUAGCAUAUUUAGCUAGCUCAAACCAGCUAUUCUGCAACAGCCACGCACGAUGGAUAUCAGAAAUUGGUUUCACCAAAGUAUCCAAACAAAGCGAAAGGAGAAGGGGAAACCUGGCUACUGUGUCAGUGGUUGUUAGAAGUUCCACUCUGACAUCAAAGUCAGACUCGAAGGUACAGGGCUGCUGAAGGCAGUGAGGCCACCAGGACAGAGGACAAGAGACUGUAAAAGACUGUUCUUCAGCCCGUUGGAUGCUGUCAUUGGUGAACUACAUCCAAGAACUCGUUUUUCACUUUGACAAACGUAUUCAGUCAGCACAGAAGGAGUAUGCUACACCUGAGGAAAGCUCAACUAAUACAAUUGGCAUUUGAGGGGGAUCUUAAAAAGAACAAUGGAAUGAUUGAUUACUCGGGAAGUUCUACAGAGCUUCAAGGAGGCUGCAACUCUUCUGUAAAGAGAGUGUACUUUUCCUGUAGGAUACCUGGCUCUACCUGCCAUUCAGGUACAUACAACCC
ensembl:lncRNA